rnacentral:rRNA from 1 species
AUUGAACGCUGGCGGCAGGCCUAACACAUGCAAGUCGAACGAGUGGCGGACGGGUGAGUAAUGUCUGGGAAACUGCCUGCUGGAGGGGGAUAACUACUGGAAACGGUAGCUAAUACCGCAUACCAUCGGAUGUGCCCAGAUGGGAUUAGCUAGUAGGUGGGGUAACGGCUCACCUGGGCGACGAUCCCUAGCUGGUCGGAGAGGAUGACAAGCCACACUGGAACUGUGACACGGUCCAGACUCCUACGGGAGGCCGCAGUGGAGAAUAUUGCAAAAUGGGCGCAAGCCUGAUGCCGCCAUGCCGCGUGUAUGAAGAAGGCUUUAGGGUUGUAAAGUACUUGCAGCGGGGAGGCGUUAGCCGCAGAAGAAGCACCGGCUAACUCCGUGCCAGCAGCCGCGGUAAUAC